CAGCCGCUUCCGCCCGGCCCGCUGCUGCUGUCCGGCGCGCUCGUAGCGGCGGCCCGGCGAGAGGCGGCCGGGGCGGGGGCGUCGACGCUUCCCCACGGGCGAGCCAUGGCAGCUGAGGAAUCUGGCUACAUGCUGGGUUCCGCCGCUUCCGACUCGUACCCGAGGUUUUGCCUUUGCCUGGGUCCAGCUCCAUGGUUGCUGAUAUCUGAAAUCCUCCUGCUUAAAGCGAGGCAUAUCGAGUGCUGCUUGUGUGUUAACGAACUAGGUUAUAGCCUUCUUAGGAACCCAAACAAUUUCGGGAAUUUAUAGUAAGCAUUUCAUAGUAAGUGAAUUACUUCUUAUUUCUUCAGUUCCUGUGUUCUUUUUACCUGGUGUACUGACUCUAAUGGCCAUGUGAGAAUAUUAAUUGUA